rnacentral:rRNA from 1 species
AUGCCGUGCUGCCACUGGGUGCUCUCCGUGGCCGAGAGCAGCAGCAACAACAAAACGCCGUCAUGGCUCCACCGCCUCCACACCAAGGGCGGCCUCUCCUUCCCCUCCCACCUCCAAAUCGAUGACCUCCUCUAUGGCCGAACCCAGCUGUCCCCUCCCUCUCCUCCUCCGCCUGUCCCCCCUCCGCCGCCGCCGUCCGACCGCGAGGCCGCCGCCACCAACCCCCAAGACCCGCCCCCUAAUCCCAAGUCUAUCCCCAAGCCACCCCGCAACCCCGCCCCCCCAAACCCUAGCGAUACCAACAACAACCAUUCGCCGCCGCCGCCGUCGCCGCCGCCGUCGCCGCAGCCGCUCUCCGGCGUCAUCUCCGAAAUUUUCGCCGUCCCCUCGGCCCCGCGAUCCAAUCGCCCCCUCAAGCCCUUCCGCAAGCAGUACCGACCCCGCCCUCGCCCCAACGUCAAGUCCGCCAACAAGGACGACAAAGACAAGGCCAAGGCCAGGAAGCGCCGCCGGGCCGAUAGGGAUGCCGGUGCUGAGCACGGGGAGAGGCGCUCCAGGACGGAGGUCACCGUCAUCGACACCAGCACCGACGGGUGGAAGGCCGCCAAGGUACUCGUCCGCAGGGGCGCCAACUGGAAGAUCAGCGACAGGAAGCACUCCGAGAUCUCAGAAACUGAGGAUCUAAGCAAGGGCAAGAGGAGGGCCGGCCUUGUUGCCAAGGUACUGAGAGAUAAAAAGAAGGGGAAAGGCGCUGCCUUGCCGGGAAACAUCCAUCCUAGUAGUGGAAUUCUGAUUAAGGUACCGGAUGAUGCUGCCAUUGAAGCACCAAAAAGACCAAGAAGCUGCGAACCAGUACCAGUAGGCCAAAGUGCACCUAUUCUUCAGUUACCAAGUUCAAGUACCUGUAGCCAGCCUUGA